rnacentral:rRNA from 1 species
CCUGCGGAGGGAUCAUUAGCGAGUUAAUUACAAGCUCCAAACCCAUGUGAACAUACCUACUGUUGCCUCGGCAGGCCGUGGCGCGCGGAAGGACCGCUACCCCGCAAAGCAGGGCAGCUACCCUGUAGCGGGGGGGCGCCUGCCCCGCGCCGCGCUGAAAGGCCUGCCGGCGGACCACUAAAUUCUGUUUCUACGUCUGUAUCUCUGAGGGCUAUUAUACAAAUAAGUUAAAACUUUCAACAACGGAUCUCUUGGUUCUGGCAUCGAUGAAGAACGCAGCGAAAUGCGAUAAGUAAUGUGAAUUGCAGAAUUCAGUGAAUCAUCGAAUCUUUGAACGCACAUUGCGCCUAAUAGUAUUCUGUUAGGCAUGCCUGUUCGAGCGUCAUUUCAACCCCCAAGCCCUAUUUGCUUGACGUUGGGAGAUUACGGAGACGUAACUCCUGAAAUAUAGUGGCGGAGCCGGGUCGUGCUCUAAGCGUAGUAAUACACACUCUCGCUUCUGAAGCCGGCCUGGGUCUCGCCGUAAAACCCCCUAUAUUUUUUAUUGGUUGACC